rnacentral:rRNA from 1 species
AGAGUUUGAUCCUGGCUCAGGACGAACGCUGGCGGCGCGCCUAACACAUGCAAGUCGAACGAGCGAGAGAGAGCUUGCUUUCUCGAGCGAGUGGCGAACGGGUGAGUAACGCGUGAGGAACCUGCCUCAAAGAGGGGGACAACAGUUGGAAACGACUGCUAAUACCGCAUAAGCCCACGACCCGGCAUCGGGUUGAGGGAAAAGGAGCAAUCCGCUUUGAGAUGGCCUCGCGUCCGAUUAGCUAGUUGGUGAGGUAACGGCCCACCAAGGCGACGAUCGGUAGCCGGACUGAGAGGUUGAACGGCCACAUUGGGACUGAGACACGGCCCAGACUCCUACGGGAGGCAGCAGUGGGGAAUAUUGCACAAUGGGGGAAACCCUGAUGCAGCGACGCCGCGUGGAGGAAGAAGGUCUUCGGAUUGUAAACUCCUGUUGUUGAGGAAGAUAAUGACGGUACUCAACAAGGAAGUGACGGCUAACUACGUGCCAGCAGCCGCGGUAAAACGUAGGUCACAAGCGUUGUCCGGAAUUACUGGGUGUAAAGGGAGCGCAGGCGGGAAGACAAGUUGGAAGUGAAAUCCAUGGGCUCAACCCAUGAACUGCUUUCAAAACUGUUUUUCUUGAGUAGUGCAGAGGUAGGCGGAAUUCCCGGUGUAGCGGUGGAAUGCGUAGAUAUCGGGAGGAACACCAGUGGCGAAGGCGGCCUACUGGGCACCAACUGACGCUGAGGCUCGAAAGUGUGGGUAGCAAACAGGAUUAGAUACCCUGGUAGUCCACACCGUAAACGAUGAUUACUAGGUGUUGGAGGAUUGACCCCUUCAGUGCCGCAGUUAACACAAUAAGUAAUCCACCUGGGGAGUACGACCGCAAGGUUGAAACUCAAAGGAAUUGACGGGGGCCCGCACAAGCAGUGGAGUAUGUGGUUUAAUUCGACGCAACGCGAAGAACCUUACCAAGUCUUGACAUCCUGCGACGGUGCUGGAAACAGUACUUUCCUUCGGGACGCAGAGACAGGUGGUGCAUGGUUGUCGUCAGCUCGUGUCGUGAGAUGUUGGGUUAAGUCC